rnacentral:rRNA from 1 species
UACGAAGGGGGCUAGCGUUGUUCGGAAUUACUGGGCGUAAAGCGCACGUAGGCGGCUUGUUAAGUCAGAGGUGAAAUCCCGGAGCUCAACUUCGGAACUGCCUUUGAUACUGGCAAUCUCGAGUCCGGAAGAGGUUAGUGGAAUUCCCAGUGUAGAGGUGAAAUUCGUAGAUAUUGGGAAGAACACCAGUGGCGAAGGCGGCUAACUGGUCCGGUACUGACGCUGAGGUGCGAAAGCGUGGGGAGCAAACAGG